CUACAGAGCGAUAGCACGUUGAAAACACCAGUUCUCAAUUGAUCACUAAAGUUAAGCAACGUACAGUAUGGUUAGUAUCCGGAUGUGUGACCAUCUGGGAAUAGCGUGUUGCUUUCUCGG
rfam:Asian citrus Psyllid, Diaphorina citri - Florida Strain, whole genome shotgun sequence.